UGGGGAAUAUUGGACAAUGGGCGCAAGCCUGAUCCAGCCAUGCCGCGUGGGUGAAGAAGGCCUUCGGGUUGUAAAGCCCUUUUGUUGGGAAAGAAAAGCAGUCGGUUAAUACCCGAUUGUUCUGACGGUACCCAAAGAAUAAGCACCGGCUAACUUCGUGCCAGCAGCCGCGGUAAUACGAAGGGUGCAAGCGUUACUCGGAAUUACUGGGCGUAAAGCGUGCGUAGGUGGUUUGUUAAGUCUGAUGUGAAAGCCCUGGGCUCAACCUGGGAAUUGCAUUGGAUACUGGCAGGCUAGAGUGCGGUAGAGGGUAGUGGAAUUCCCGGUGUAGCAGUGAAAUGCGUAGAGAUCGGGAGGAACAUCCGUGGCGAAGGCGACUACCUGGACCAGCACUGACACUGAGGCACGAAAGCGUGGGGAGCAAACAGGAUUAGAUACCCUGGUAGUCCACGCCCUAAACGAUGCGAACUGGAUGUUGGGUUCAACUAGGAACUCAGUAUCGAAGCUAACGCGUUAAGUUCGCCGCCUGGGGAGUACGGUCGCAAGACUGA
rnacentral:rRNA from 1 species